AGCCUCGUGCUGUUUACCACAGGCAGUGUUCUUACACUGAUGUACAGAAAAGCGAGGAAGAGUAAACCUGCCCCAUAUACACGUUGUGCCUUGCCUGUAUUGUAAAUGGGGAUACAUGU
ensembl:snoRNA